CAGCCGCCGCGGUAAUACGAAGGGGGCUAGCGUUGUUCGGAUUUACUGGGCGUAAAGGGUGCGUAGGCGGAUUGUUAAGUCAGGGGUGAAAUGCCGGGGCUCAACCUCGGAACUGCCUUUGAUACUGGCGAUCUUGAGUCCGGGAGAGGUGAGUGGAACUGCGAGUGUAGAGGUGAAAUUCGUAGAUAUUCGCAAGAACACCAGUGGCGAAGGCGGCUCACUGGCCCGGAACUGACGCUGAGGCACGACAGCGUGGGGAGCAAAUGGGAUUAGAUACCCCCGUAGUCCCUGUCUCUUAUAC
rnacentral:rRNA from 1 species